AGGAAAAAAAAAAAGGAAAGAGAAAAUUAGCACUAAAUGUAUAAAUAUUUUAAUUACCAAUUAAGUAGGUCCUAACAUGGGAAAGAUUAACACUUUCUUUGACUGAAGAAACACGAUUGAGACGUGGGACAUGUGGAGAGAACUAGAGCCCAAGGCCAGCUCUCCCAGCUCCCAGGCGCCGUCUUCAUGGCUCUGGCCCCGUGAGCCACAGCUCUCACCUGCAAAAUUAGGAUAAUUCUCUGCCUCAGGUGAAAUUACGCUGCUAAGGCCCUUACAUAAAGCCUGUUAUAUAAGUGUAAGAUAUUGGUGAAAGUAUAAAUUAAUAUCUAUAUAAAGGAAACACCCAAUUUCAUCAAAGCAUGGUGAUGCUUAGGGUAUGAUAGGUUCCUGAAAGUUCUAACUGCAAUUUAAAGGAUUGAACCUUUAUCUGAAGGGAGGUUUUUGCCACAAACCUUUAUUAGUAUCUGAUGCUUGUGUAAUAACCCACCUUACCAACAGUUUGUUGAAACAGACACUGGAAAUAGGUCAUGCUUUGUAAUACUGAAUAGUAACUCUGCCCUCAGUUCACACAGAGCUUCACAGUUUGGAAAUCCUUUCUACAUAUUCUUCCUCAUUUGACCCUCAGAGCUUCUGAGAGGUAGACACUACAGUUACUGCUAUGACCAGGCACCUCGGGUAAAUUCUCAAUAGUGAACAGUAUUUCACUGAUGAAGCAGCAAACCCAGAGAGAUUCAAUGACCUUCCUGAGGCCACGGAGCUUCUGCUAAACGGCAAAAGAGAAACCUCCAUACAGAUUGUUUUUCCCUCAGAAUCGUGACUUCCCACGUUACUUAAUUGCCCUCCAUUCACUUUCAGAGGAAGGAGCUGAGCUCCUCACCUUUGGCAAUGAAGGAGAUGACUCAUCCAGAAAACCACAAGAUCCUCUCAUCUCAACGGACAGGGAGGGAAGCCUAAGUUAGAACAAAGGCAUCUGAAGAGAACUGACACAGCUAAGAAGGACAGGGUGUCAAGCGCACUGGGCAAAACCAUCAGCACCAAACACAGACCUGGAAUUACCCUGGAUCUGGGCGGGUCUGGUGCCGGUGCUGAACUGAGCCUCGGAAUCUCUUCACCUUCAGACUGUCACCAACUUCACUCUCGUCACCUCCCUUCACAAAGCCCUACUUGGUGUAGGUUUCAACAUUAAACCAAUAGCUCUUAAGAUACUAUCCCUGGAACAUGCAGCCACUUUCAUUUUGUGAGUCAACAGUAUGACAAGAGUGGAAUGUGGGGAAGUUUGCCCUGGGAGAAAACACGCACCACGAAUGUGACGUGGGGCACAGCCUGAGGAAUGGAUGCAGCAGGAGGGAGGGGACUGCACUGUGAAGCCCCUGGGCCAUUUCCGGGGUUUCAUGGAUGGAAAUGAGUUUGCAAAUUUUGAAGAGACAAAAGAGUAACAGUUGGGAUCCAGAGGGCGGCUGUGAGAGAAGCUCUGCGGGGUAGCGCUGCUUUCUCCUGCAGCAAGAACAGAUGCAAUGUUCAGGCAGGACAGUCC